UACGUAGGGUGCAAGCGUUAAUCGGAAUUACUGGGCGUAAAGCGUGCGCAGGCGGUUAUGCAAGACAGAGGUGAAAUCCCCGGGCUCAACCUGGGAACUGCCUUUGUGACUGCAUAGCUAGAGUGCGGCAGAGGGGGAUGGAAUUCCGCGUGUAGCAGUGAAAUGCGUAGAGAUGCGGAGGAACACCGAUGGCGAAGGCAGCCCCCUGGGCUAACACUGACGCUCAGGCACGAAAGCGUGGGGAGCAAACAGG
rnacentral:rRNA from 1 species